UAACAACAUUCGUUCUGUGCGAACUUGUGCAAAGUGAAGGGAAGAGUUCAGCCUAUUUCUAAAUGCAAUGAAUUCUGGAAUCUUCUCAAAUGCACCGUAUUUGUAGGCUUGAAUGAUGUAUUCUGAGGUAUCUUUCUGGUUGGAGUGGAAAAACCUGAGUGCAAAAUUGCAGGAUUGGGAUGCAGCAGCAUAAUGGCCCAGUGCCUCUGCAUAGCGCGUCAGGAGAUAGCCAAUGGUGUCGUGCUGUAUGUGUUUUG
rnacentral:lncRNA from 1 species